rnacentral:rRNA from 1 species
GACGAACGCUGGCGGCGUGCCUAAUACAUGCAAGUCGAACGCUGAAGGAGGAGCUUGCUUCUCUGGAUGAGUUGCGAACGGGUGAGUAACGCGUAGGUAACCUGCCUGGUAGCGGGGGAUAACUAUUGGAAACGAUAGCUAAUACCGCAUAAGAGUAGAUGUUGCAUGACAUUUACUUAAAAGGUGCAAUUGCUUCACUACCAGAUGGACCUGCGUUGUAUUAGCUAGUUGGUGAGGUAACGGCUCACCAAGGCAACGAUACAUAGCCGACCUGAGAGGGUGAUCGGCCGCACGGGGACUGAGACACGGCCCAGACUCCUGCGGGAGGCAGCAGUAGGGAAUCUGCGGCAAUGGACGGAAGUCUGACCGAGCAACGCCGCGUGAGUGAAGAAGGUGUUCGGAUCGUAAAGCUCUGUUGUAAGAGAAGAACGAGUGUGAGAGUGGAAAGUGCACACGGUGACGGUAUCGUACCAGAAAGGGACGGCAAACUACGU